rnacentral:rRNA from 1 species
AUUGAACGCUGGCGGCAUGCUUUACACAUGCAAGUCGAACGGCAGCGCGGGCUUCGGCCUGGCGGCGAGUGGCGAACGGGUGAGUAAUGCAUCGGAACGUGCCCAGUAGUGGGGGAUAGCCCGGCGAAAGCCGGAUUAAUACCGCAUACGACCUGAGGGUGAAAGCGGGGGACCGAAAGGCCUCGCGCUAUUGGAGCGGCCGAUGUCGGAUUAGCUAGUUGGUGGGGUAAAGGCUUACCAAGGCGACGAUCCGUAGCUGGUCUGAGAGGACGACCAGCCACACGGGGACGGAGACGCGGCCCAGACUCCUACGGGAGGCAGCAGGGGGGAAUGUGGGACAAGGGGGGAAAGCCGGACCGAGCAACGCCGCGGGGGGGAAGAAGGCCUUCGGUUUGUAAACCUCUUUUGUGGGGGAAGAACUCCUGUGGGAAAAACCCCGGGGGGGAUGACGGUACCGAAAAAAAAAGCCCCGGCUAACUACGUG